AAGCAUCACGCGCUGAAGAAGAGGCUCAUGUUUUGAAAACAAAAGCAGCUGACCCUUUUCCAUUGUUUCUGGCUCUAGUUCUUUUGUGAGAUUCAUCGAUUGGUAUUAGCUACUACUGCAACUCUAACUUAUUCAAGGCCUUCUUCUAGCAAUCUAGAGCUGAAAUCUACAGGCUUCCACUGCACUCAGCUUAUCAUAAUCAGCUAGUACUAGUUGCAGGCAACUCAGUUCCAACCAACUUUAGUCAAGUACAGUCUACAGUAGAGUGGUGCAGAUGUAGGCCAGGUCUACAGACCCCUGGAAAUACUGUCACAGCUAGAGCUUGAAAGUGAUGCUGAUGAGGAUGCCCAGCCUUUUUCUGCCAGUAACUCAGUCAAAACUGGUGGUGAGACUUUAUUGUCUGUUUUCGGUGGAAGAUGCUGCUCUUUCGAUUGCCUGGUGAUAGUGACACGAGCAGAUGCAGCUGCAGCCCGCUCAGCCUUCAAGGAGAAAUCUUUGUAUGAUCAGCGGAUAUAGCUUCUGAAGUACUUCAGGACUCAUUCUUCUCAAGCUGAAGAUGCGAGCUUUCAGUUCUCAUUCAGCAUUGGUCUAGAGCCGGUGUGUGCUACAGCCUGGUACCAGGUGAUUGGAAUUGUGAGAUCAAGAUUCUACUACUAGCAAAAACGGUUCAUAGCAGUGAGAGACAGAAAUACUACAAGCACAUUCAAAAAGCGAAGGCAAGCCCAGACAAAUAUAUGAGCAUCAUCAUCGAUGGGAUAUGGAUCAACACUGCACAGCAAUACCGCAACUACACCCAGCACCCAAAGCCCUAAGCCACACGGACCAACUCAACACACACAUCACUGGUGCAAUUGUAGAUGGAAGUGGUCAACACACUCAUAUCGACAUCAAAGAAUACCUUCAUGACAGCAACCUCACCAUCAACAUCAUCCUCAACAUUCUCAUCCACUGCACCGACUCCCUUCCACCAACUUUGUAUCUCCGAUUAGACAAGACAGCAAGGGAGAACAAGAAUCGACACGUCUUUGCCUUUCUCUCUCUCUUAAUGGAGCUCAUUAUCUUCAAAAAGAAGACGAUGCAACAGUGAGGUGGCCCAUUUGCGACUUAAUGCUAGCAGGCACUCAAACAGUGAAUGCUCACAGCAGCAAGUGUAUGCUGACAUCACAGAGGAAAAACCAUACAGACAGGUUCAUCUUGGACCCAAUGCGAGGAAGGCUCGAGAGGACAGAAAUACUGGAGGGAGAUAUGGUGGCCACCUACCGCGAGGCGUAUAGCACACAAUGACCACAGAUAGGACAAGGACAAGAUGUGGACAAGGUCAGGGAGGAUGUCCUUGUACUAGAAUGGUUUACAGGGACAUUGACAACAAAAUGGAAGAAGAUGAUGGUUGCUGUCACAGGACAGCGGGACUGGAAGCAGGUUUGGGUUGAGACCAUUCCAAGGGAUAGUGUAAUUCUCCUUCCUUUCACUCUGACAGCAAGAGACAAACUGCCACCUCAGUUAGUGAUUCGAUUGAAGGAGAAAUAUAUGGAUUAUUUGAAGUAGGUAUUCAGGCCUAGUUAAAGCCCUUCUAUAGUGUUGGGACCCCCCCCCCCCCCAAUUUGAUGGCAAUAUUCCACAUAGAGUGCGUACUGACAUAUGGUUUUCGAUGAACACACAAUUCUGCAAGGAUUUUCAUGACGCUAAGUGAUUGAAGACAAAUUUUGGUAAUAGAAAUAAAGGAAUUUCAAUUUUUCUCUUUUAAGCAUACAACUCAAUUUUUAAAAAGAUUUGUUUUUAAAUCAUCACUAAGAUAACAAAUGAACUUUCGAACAUUAAGUUUUAAGUAACAUGUAUAUGUGAUAAAUUGUUCGCCCUGAAACUGCACUGAAAUAUUUUAUUCGGCUCAAGUUCUUAUCUAGAAAAUAUCAGAGGAGAGACAGACUAAUUCCAUGUCAACUGUAAAUGUAAAACAUUUUUUUCCCGUAUGAGUAUAAAUUUAUCUCAAAAUUGUUUGCAUAUGGGAUGUAGUCUUAACCCCCUCCCCCCCCCCCCCCCCCAUCCCCCACCCCUGCUUAUUCACAGGCUGGCUGAGUCGUUGCGAAAUUUUCGGCGCGAUUUUCAGAUUUUAAAACCCCACCUUGGAAAAAGUCCUGCGUACGCCCCUGUAAGUUGGUAUAAAGCUUAUACCAUUUAGUGCCCUGUUGGUUGGUAUAAUGCUUAUACCAUUUAGUGCUCUGUAGAU
rnacentral:lncRNA from 1 species